AUGUAGCCCCGUACACUCCGGUUCCUCCGCGCCGUCCGCACUCGCCUGACGGCUGCUCGCCAAGUCUUUUUUAGCC
rnacentral:sRNA from 2 species